rnacentral:rRNA from 1 species
GUUAUUUUAGAGUAAGUAAAAGUCGUAAACAGGUUUCCCGUAGGUGAACCUGCGGAAGGAUCAUUACCGAGUUCUCGAGCUUCGGCUCGAAUCUCCCACCCUUUGUGAACAUACCUCUGUUGCUUUGGGCUCUUGCCGCGUGGAGGCCGUCAAAAGCCCCCCCCCGCGCGCUUCCGCCAGAGGGCCUUCAAACUCCAGUCAGUAAACGUCGACGUCUGAAAAACAAGUUAAUAAACUAAAACUUUCAACAACGACUCUUGGUUCUGGCAUCGAUGAAGAACGCAGCGAAAUGCGAUAAGUAAUGUGAAUUGCAGAAUUCAGUGAAUCAUCGAAUCUUUGAACGCACAUUGCGCCCCUUGGCAUUCCGAGGGGCAUGCCUUUGAGCGUCAUUACAACCCUCAAGCUCUGCUUGGUAUUGGGCGCCGUCCUCUCUGCGGACGCGCCUCAAAGACCUCGGCGGUGGCUGUUCAGCCCUCAAGCGUAGUAGAAUACACCUCGCUUUGGACGGUGGCGUCGCCCGCCGGACGAACCUUCUGAACUUUUCUCAAGGUUGACCUCGGAUCAGGUAGGGAUACCCGCUGAACUUAAGCAUAUCAAUAAG